UCCUACUGUGAGGCACUUGCUGGGGAUAAAAAUGGAAAAUGAGGUACUGGGGAAUAAAAGUGCACGUUUACAUUUGGCUGUUUUCAAGUUCAAGAUAUCAGUGGCAGAGAGGGUAUAAUAUUUAGAAGACGGGCCACUUUAUUUUUUAUAUUGAUGUUGGCAAAUAUCCUUAAGGGCUUUUAGUACAGUUAUGAAUACCGAAAGCAUCUUUAAAUAUCAGAGGGAUGUCAUGGAAAAACAGAGCGGCCACGUUUUAAGCUGACGCUCCUGGGUUUGUUUUACCAUCAGUCCUAUCAGUGAGUGUCGCUUUUGGUUUGGACUUGCAAUCAAACAGCAGAGACUGGAGAGACAAGAUGAUGGGAUGUGAAAAUUCAGAAAACUGAAGUUGGUUCUGAAAUGCAAGGCAUUGGAGAAGGUUCUGAACAGCAGGACUAGAGGUCAGCCUGAUGGUUCGUCAGACCCGGUGGAGUUCUCUCCAGGCAGGCCUCACGUUUCUACGGGCACCCAAAGCUUAGGGGAAUUUCAAGGCUGCCCUCCACCCUGUGUUUGGUCAGGGCUCUGGGGUCUAAUUCAACAAGCGCACAUGGACAGGAAGCCGAGCAUGCAGGGAGGACUUCCUGUACCUCAGCACGCGUCUUUGGUCAGAAGACUGAGCUGUGAUUGGACAAAAAGGUUCUGGGUUUUUCAGGACAGUGACUGGGUAGCACAGCUGCUCCUCAUCU